rnacentral:lncRNA from 1 species
CAAAAUUUCUAAGGUGUAGAGAGUGAAAAAUAAGAGUUGUAAUUGGUGAGGAGUGUUGUUGAAGAAAUAAAAUAGUGUGUGUUUUGUGUGUUUUAUUUGUUAAUUCUCCAACAUGUAAUUCUCUGCAGGGGCAAUAUCACUAGCAAAUGAAGGCGAACAGGCCUGGUUCUAACACUCUUAGCAGUGCUGCCCAAUUUAUACAGAAUUUUGAUAUUUUAAGAAUCUGACUCUGUCAAGAAAUCAAGUUCAUUGAUUCUCUGUUAAAUUUCUUGAAUGUGCUGAAAAAUUUAAGAUGGAGAGGUUAGGCAAUUCGUGCUUGUCAGAGUGAGUGAGCCUAUAAGGCCUCAUAUAAUCCAAAACCGGGACCAUGACCGGUUCAGUUGCCUGUCUAGCAAAUAUUAACUUUUCGAGUUCUCUUUUCUAUAAAGUGCAUCAAAGCUUUAUACCUUUUUCAGGUGAACAAGAAGAGACACGCUUCGUAUAUUCAUUUCUAUCUAAUAAAUAACAUGGUGCGUCCGGAAACCUUCAAUUGGAUGCAUACAGUUCUGCUGCGACAAAGCAUACAUUGACUCUAGGAUUAUACAAGCCAGGGACCGUGUUAUGAGCCUAACAACAAUUACUCCCACGCUUCAGUUGUCACGCAUCUCUACAAGUCCAAUAACAAGCUAACCCACACAUAUGAUUUCAUGCAGCGUGGUCUGAUUAUCUCUCAGGACCCACGUAAACUUGAAAAUUUCCCUUUUUGCCACUAAAUUAUUAUCUAUAAACUUACACUUUGAAUCUGCAUUCUAUAUAUCAAAACUAAGAACGUAAAGAUAUAAUAUACACGAUUGUCAUGUCUUAUUGUGUAGCUGUUGGAAAAUGCAUAUAUGAACAUGCUAAUGGGGAGGAAAUCCUUUAGUGAUUUUUCAUAUUAAAUAAAAUUGGAUGAUUGAAAAGUAAAAUUUUACCUUGCUUAUAGCUAAUGAAUUGUAUGUGCUUCCGUAUGAAUUUAUGAGCUUUCUCACUGAAAAUAAACAAACAUUGAUUCGCUGAUUUUAGUGCCAUGAUGAUGCCAUUAUGGAUGAGUAAGGGUAUCACAAUUUCAAAUUAAAACUUCUUUGAUGAGAUUGAAGACAAAACUGUCACAGGCACAUGGGAAGAGGUAUAUUCAGAUCCUAUUUAAUUUUCCGUCGGACCGAUCACAAGAGCUCGAGCAAAGAAAUUCAAAGAAGCGCUUAAUGGGUUGAUUCAAGCAACUUGGGCUCAAUCAAAUUCGUGGAGGCCUGUUAAAGGAAUCACACACGAUAAAUGCAUGAUUCAGACUCUUGAAGUUUCC